CGGACGGGUGAGUAACGCGUGGAUAACCUGCCGUAUGCAGGGGGAUACCAACUGGAAACAGUUGCUAAUACCGCAUAAGCGCACAGUACCGCAUGAUAUAGUGUGAAAAGAUUUAUCGGCAUACGAUGGAUCCGCGUCCGAUUAGCCAGUUGGCGGGGUAGAAGCCCACCAAAGCGACGAUCGGUAGCCGGCCUGAGAGGGCGGACGGCCACAUUGGGACUGAGACACGGCCCAAACUCCUACGGGAGGCAGCAG
rnacentral:rRNA from 1 species